rnacentral:rRNA from 1 species
UGGGGAAUCUUGGACAAUGGGCGCAAGCCUGAUCCAGCCAUGCCGCGUGAGUGAUGAAGGCCCUAGGGUCGUAAAGCUCUUUCGCCUGUGAAGAUAAUGACGGUAGCAGGUAAAGAAACCCCGGCUAACUCCGUGCCAGCAGCCGCGGUAAUACGGAGGGGGUUAGCGUUGUUCGGAAUUACUGGGCGUAAAGCGCGCGUAGGCGGACUAUUAAGUCAGAGGUGAAAUCCCGGGGCUCAACCCCGGAACUGCCUUUAAAACUAUCAGUCUAGAGUUCGAGAGAGGUGAGUGGAAUUCCGAGUGUAGAGGUGAAAUUCGUAGAUAUUCGGAGGAACACCAGUGGCGAAGGCGGCUCACUGGCUCGAUACUGACGCUGAGGUGCGAAAGUGUGGGGAGCAAACAGG